UAUUUUCAGAACUGCUGCUGUAUUUGAACACUCUCUGUUCCUGUACACAGUCCACAGCUAACAAAUCAAGGUGGGACAAAGUGCUCAGCCAGCACCAGUGCACAAAUUGACACCCAGCACAGCCAUCCUGCUUAUUCCCUUGAUAUGUCAACCUAGAGGAGCCCCUCACAUGGGAAUUUCCAUGGCACUGAGGAGACCACUGCAAGACCAUGAAUGUAAGCACCAAUUCCACUAGGGACAGUUUGCAGCCCUUUGUGGAGAAGAGCUACAAGGAAAGAAACUAUCCCACAGAAAGAAAAUAUACUUGGAGGUUGGUAAGCAUUUUGUCUUUUAGGUACUCACUCAAGGAGAAAACAACACAACUUCAAGUCUCUAGAGGAAACCAACACAAUAAACUAUAUAGAGCAGUUUUAAUAUAAAAGGAGGAAAGCAUUCCUGAUAGAUGGAACUUACCAAGUAAUAUUUACAAAGUUCAUCUUUGUAUAGUAUUUUGUAGUUAUUAAUUAAAUCAUGGCAUCUCUUGUAGGGAAAAUUGCAUUUAUUUUUCCCACCAUUGUAGAUGGCAUUUUAAUAAAGAAGAGAGACAAGAUGCUGAAGCUGGAGGGAUAAAAAAAAGAUAUUUCUUUUAAGAAGGAAAGAAUAAUGAUUGCCUCUGAACUUCAGAUCUAAUGCCACUUCUCCUAGAAAACAACACUACUGAUGGAAAAGAAAUUUUUCUGGUUUUUCUUUUUUUCUUUUUUUACUAUUUCAGCACUCUUGUUUUGUUGUCAGAGGAGAGUUAUUGCUCACAAUUAGAGAUAUAAGAACCAAGAG